UACGAGUGCUCCAAGCGUUAUCCGGAAUCAUUGGGCGUAAAGGGUGUGUAGGCGGUUGUGUUAGUCUUUUGUUAAAUUCUUCGGCUUAACCGGGGGCAUGCGAAAGAAACGGCACAACUUGAGGAUGCGAGAGGUGAAUGGAACUCAUGGAGUAGGGGUGAAAUCCGUUGAUAUCAUGGGGAACACCAAAAGCGAAGGCAAUUCACUGGCGCACUCCUGACGCUGAAACACGAAAGCGUAGGUAGCGAAUGGG
rnacentral:rRNA from 1 species